GGGGCUGUGGCCUAGUCAGGUAUGGCGACGGGCUCCAGCGAGACCCGUCGAUCGUGCGUUCGAAUCGCACCAGCCCCA
rnacentral:tRNA from 1 species